CGUCAUAGACCGGCAUGGGUAGCCCUCCAUGAUGUUAACGUGCAACCAACGUCAGGCCGUGUUACCUUGAGGAAUGAGGAGUAGUUCGUAUUUGUAGUAAUGGGCUAUGAAUUAUCGGGGUAUAUCAACCAUAUAUUUAUACAUGUUCUGUUGUUAAAAUAGGAGAGCAAAUCCGCCGAAUUUAAGCAUAUAAUUAAGCGGAAGAAAAGAAAAUAACAAUGAUUCCUUUAGUAACGGCGAGUGAACAAGGAAUAGCUCAAGCGGAUAAUCUGUGUGUCUUUUCCUAUUUAAAGGUUUAGCGCAAAGAAUUGUCGUGUAUUAAAAGACUAUAGUAACCUUCUGGUAGCCGUAAAGAUAAGACAUAUGUUACGAAGCGAGGUGGAAUGCCUCCCCCGAAGAGGGUGAAAGGCCCGUAGUAAUCAUAGGGCUUAGUGUUAUCAGAUAACCUCUAUCAGUAAAGAGUCGUGUUCUUUGAGAUUGGAGCACAAAUGCGUGUGAUACAUUUCACAUAAAGCUAAAUAUGUGUAGGAGACCGAUAGCAAACAAGUACCGUGAGGGAAAGAUGAAAUAGUACUCAGGAAUGAGCAAUUAAAAAGUACCUGAAAUCGUUAAGGUGGAACGGAUUAAAAGAGAAAAAAAGUAUUGCAGUCAACAUAAGUUGUUGCAGCGACAGUUUAUGUCUAACUGCUUUAUUAAAAGAAACAUCAGUAAAAGGUUUUAGAUCUAUUCGGAUAAAGACUGUUGCUGAUUAGCAUUUAAUUUUACCUUCGGGAUAAAAUUAAUAGACUUUUCACAUUAUCCUUUUGUUAAAAAAGGAUAAAAGGUUUUUAUAGAAAUCACGAAACAAAAAUAAGUGAUAGAUAGUCCAUUUUACUGAGGUUAACACACAAAUGUGUAUUGCUUUGUAAUUUAUAUUCGCCAAGAAUAUAUUUUACAGCUUCGCGUUUUAAGUUGUUUCUAACGAAUACUCUUUUAACCCACUCGUCUUGAAACACGGACCAAGGAGUCUAGCAAAUGUGCGAGUGUAUAUGAUAUAUUAAACAUUUUCAGUACGUUACGACGUGCUUAUACGCAUAAUUAAUGUAAUAUAUUAUAUUUGUAGAACCAGCUGGAGGUUUCUAACUUCCAGUUGGCGCAUACAAUACCGGUAGGCAAAUACGCCUUAUUGAGUAUGAGCAUAUUUGGUAGGACCCGAGAGGCUUUGAACUAAGCGUGGUGAGAUUGAAGUCAGACGAAAGUCUGAUGGAGGAUCGAAUUGAUACUGACGUGCAAAUCGUUCAUUUCAAUCACGUUUAGGGGCGAAAGACUAAUCGAAAAGCCUAUUAGCUGGUUAUUUUCGAAAGAUCUCUCAGGAUCGCUGGAGUUGAUUAAUAUAAUUUUACCAGGUAGAGAUAAUGAUUAGAGGACUCAGGGAAUUGAAUUUCCUUGACCUAUUCUCAAACUCCCAAUGGGUAAAAAGGGUUUAAAUAGCUUAAUUUCUUUUGUAUUUAGCUCGAUAUAAAUAAAAUAACUCCAAGUGGGCCAUUUUUGGUAAGCAGAACUGGCGAUGAGGGAUGCUCCUAACGUCUGGAUAAGGUGCCUAAAUAUUCGCUCAUCAGAUCCCAUAAAAGGUGUUGGUUCAUUAUGACAGUAGGACGGUGGUCAUGGAAGUCGAAAUCCGCUAAGGAGUGUGUAACAACUUACCUACCGAAUGAACUAGCCCUGAAAAUGGAUGGCGCUAAAGCGAAUUACCGAUACCAGGCCAUAAAAGGAAAGGAAAAAGGGUGGUUUUACCACCUUUUCUUCUUUAUAAAUCUUUUAUGAGUAGAAAAUCGUGGGGUUUUGUGUCGAAGCGAAAUACGUGAGUUUUCGUGGAACAUAUCCCUAGUGCAGAUCUUGGUGGAAGUAGCAAAUAUUCAAAUGAGAACUUUGAAGACUGAAGUGGAGAAGGGUUUCUUGUCAACUGUGUUUGUACAAGAGUUAGCCGCUCCUAAGAGACAGCUGAAAAGUGUUUAAGUUAGGGCAAUGUUGUAGGUUUUUUAACAUAUGACAUAAUCCCUGUUCUCAAAAGGGAAACAGGUUUAUAUUCCUGUGCCAAAACAAAUCUAUGGGUUCCUAAAAAUUUAAGAUGGCAACAUAUAGACAAAUGAACCUCUUUACAUAGGUUUUACCAUCGGGGUGCGUUUUCUUUGCACUUUACCUUUAUAGCAUACCUUGGAAUCAAUUUACUUGGAGAAGAGGUAUGUUGAAGUCAAUUCAGAUAUAUUGUUCAUAGGAACUUCGGUUCCUAUUUACAAUUAUCCGUUUUGUAGCAAUAGUAAUUCGUUUUUAUGAAUUAUUCGAUUUGGUAUAAACUAUCCUUGAAAAAAGAGGGGAACGACAAACCAAAGGCGGGAGAGCCGCUACAGACGAACCAGCAAUCGCAAGAUUGUUGGAUCGUUUGUAAACGCUCUUUAGUUUUUGGUAUGUAAAACUCUAAUUUGUUAAAAUGAGCGUACCAACAACCGCAUCAGGUCUCCAA
rnacentral:rRNA from 1 species